rnacentral:rRNA from 1 species
CUCGUAGGCGGCCAACUAAGUCAGACGUGAAAUCCCUCAGCUUAACUGGGGAACUGCGUCUGAUACUGGAUGGCUUGGAUUCGGGAGAGGAAUGCGGAAUUCCAGGUGUAGCGGUGAAAUGCGUAGAUAUCUGGAGGAACACCGGUGGCGAAGGCGGCAUUCUGGACCGACAUUGACGCUGAGGAGCGAAAGCCAGGGAGCAAACG